UCAGAUAAACGUUUUUAUGUAGUGUGCAA
rnacentral:piRNA from 1 species